GACGAACGCUGGCGGCGUGCCUAAUACAUGCAGGUUGAGCGCUGAAGGUUGGUACUUGUACCGACUGGAUGAGCAGCGAACGGGUGAGUAACGCGUGGGGAAUCUGCCUUUGAGCGGGGGACAACAUUUGGAAACGAAUGCUAAUACCGCAUAAAAACUUUAAACACAAGUUUUAAGUUUGAAAGAUGCAAUUGCAUCACUCAAAGAUGAUCCCGCGUUGUAUUAGCUAGUUGGUGAGGUAAAGGCUCACCAAGGCGAUGAUACAUAGCCGACCUGAGAGGGUGAUCGGCCACAUUGGGACUGGGACACGGCCCAAACUCCUACGGGAGGCAGCAGUAGGGAAUCUUCGGCAAUGGACGAAAGUCUGACCGAGCAACGCCGCGUGAGUGAAGAAGGUUUUCGGAUCGUAAAACUCUGUUGGUAGAGAAGAACGUUGGUGAGAGUGGAAAGCUCAUCAAGUGACGGUAACUACCCAGAAAGGGACGGCUAACUACGUG
rnacentral:rRNA from 1 species